CAGGUAGGUGGUCUCAUUUGUCUGGGGUGAAAGCCUUGAGCUUAACUCAAGAAGUGCCCCGGAAACGGUGAGACUGGAGUGCUGGAGAGGGUCGUGGAAUUCCCGGUGUAGCGGUGAAAUGCGUAGAGAUCGGGAGGAACACCUGAGGCGAAGGCGGCGACCUGGACAGUGACUGACACUCAACUGCGAAAGCGUGGGGAGCAAACA
rnacentral:rRNA from 1 species